GAAGCGGUGGUCUGGAGAUUUCUCCAACGCUAUUACACCAUUGUACAUUCCGUUUAUCUCUUUUGUUUCAGUCAUGUUGUAGUUUCAGGAAAAAAAGUCAAUAGGUAUUUUGUGUCCAUAGUCGAAUUACCCAACUCAUAAUCAAUCAUAUUUAUUUUAGGAUACCGUACCUCAAAAGGCACAUCACAAUUUUUAAUGUAGUUGGAUUAUAAUCCAACAGAUUAUAGAAAUUGUAAUUUCUACCAAAAUAUUUGCAAAAGCCGUGUAUCAAUGAAGCGGAGAUUAAAUGAGAUCAAUUUUAUCGCCAUAAAAAUUAUACAUAUUGAUGACACGAACUUGUCAAAUUAAAAAACUUGUCAAAAGCGUGCGUGGCUGACGUCACCUGAGAAUAUCCCGCGACUUGGCAUUCUCACGACCGCACAAACCUGUCGCUCGAUUAAAGUGCCGUUAGUUAAUACAGCCUCCAGAACCUGACGAAUCGAGAUGACCUGGCCUGAUGAAAGAACUCGAUCUUGCAACGAUUAUGUGGGGAUAAUACAUCAAACAAUGUAUCGCACAUGCGUUUGGCGGCAUUCAGGAGAACAAAGAGCAUGUAACAUUGGCGUCUCGUGAAAUUAGCUCGAUUGAUGGAAAGAGCGAACAGAGCGACGUGUAAGGGGAUACGGCGUCAGGCGGUCACUAAUGUCGUGGUACAGUGCUCCACGUCAAUAUCUAGUCCGAUUGUGAUAUUAAGACUUCGUAAAAAUAUACAUGAUAUACAUAGUAAUGUUACCCUAGAAUAAGUGAAAACUUCAGAAUGGGCACACAUUGUCAAAAGUUUAAAAAAGGCUAUGAAAUCUAGAAUCCCCAACAGCUAGGUACAAGAAUAUCCUUACGUUUUCCUAAUGGAUCAACUGGUAGGUAUGCAUAGCUAGGUAUAGUGCCAUCUAAAACUACACCUUAAAAAGAGUGUCUAGGACGGCACAAAUACCUAGUUUUGCAUACCAAAUACUUUUUAAGGUUGCAUAAUAUAAAUUUGUAAGUACAAUAUUUUAAUAAUAUUAAUUACUAAAAUAUAAAAUAUUCGUGGCCUACUAUGCCUGUAAUCGAACCCGAAUCACGGCGCUGCGGACACGUCGCGGCGCAUGCGCCGCUCUGCUGGACAGACCGACCGCUGGACAUAUGCGUCUGCACCAUAUAUUGGGUAUUUUAUAAAUAAAGUCAAAGCUUUCAUUAAGAAACUAGAACUUCAAU